CUUUGUCCUCCAAGUUCCUGAAAACACAAGUUGUAGGUACCCAUCCGGAUACAGAAGGAGCACUCCUUUCCACUGUGGUUUGAGAUUUUGUCCAGACCUCUGAUGAACUAUGGAGGUAGGUCUCAUGGAGAAUUAAACAAACUGACGACCCCUUGAGAUUGCAUGGCGGUUUGCAGUCUUCACAGAUGUUUACAGAUGUAGUGUCUCAUAUGCUCCUCCCAGAGGCUCAUGGGGUAGGAGUAACAGGAGCUCUAUAGUCGAGCCUUCCCUGUGUGCCAGGUGGGCUUGUACUUGCUCAUUGACUCUUCACACAACCUUGGGAGUUGGGUUCUAGCCCCAUUUUGCAGAUGAGGCUCAGAGAGUUGAAUCUCAGAGAUGAGAUUCCGGAGUUCACGCAGUGGGAAGUGACAGGAUCAGCAUUGUGACCCUUCACAGUCUGCUUCCAAGGUCAGAUGUAAACCACUAUGUGACAUUGGCUCAAUGGCUUUCAGAGAACACACAUGACCUGUCACCUGUACACUGGAAUGAAGACCUAUCUGUCCUGCUCUUUCUUGUUUCAGCUUUCAGCUGGUUUGGGAACCUCUGAAGCUUUGUGCUCAGAUAGUUUCCUCUGCCUAGAUCCACUGUGGCUGUGGUUCCCUCCACUGGCGUCACUCAGGAAUCAGCCUUCUCUCUCUAAGGUCAAGCUCAUGGUUUGAAUCCCUUAAUUUCCUUCAAGUUGACAUUUUACCGUUCCAUGGUCCCAAGCCUCCAGCAGCUUCUAAAGGAGUGAUUUCAGAUAUGCUCUCCCCACAGUUCUUAGAACAAUUCAUUCCAAUCUUGGGACAAUGCCCGGAAUUCAAGAGAACCAGCAUGAUCCUUCCAGCCUGGCGUUUCCUUCCAUCUGCUGUCUAAAGCUCUGUCUACAGGCGUAAACUGCUAGAUGAUAAAACACUCCAAAAGACAGGAAACUUGCCAGAAGCUAGUGAGUCAGGAAGAAGGAAGCCAGGAUUCAACCCUGGUCUUUUCAGAUUCCCACGGGACCGCCUGCGAAGUGUGGUGCCAGGGUGACUUCUGAGGCAAGCCCUGGGGUGUCCUACUUCCCCACUCCCAGAAAGCAG
rnacentral:lncRNA from 1 species